rnacentral:SRP_RNA from 1 species
GUCAGACAUGGUGGCACAUUCCUGUAAUCCCUACUACCAGGGAUGCUAAGUCUGGCAGAUGGUUUGAGCUCAGAAGUUCUGAGCUGCCAUGGGCUAGGGCAAUAAGGCGUCUGCACUGUUGGACAUUAAUCUGGUGAGCCUCUAGGAAGAGAGGGCAACCAGGUUUCCUAGAGAGGGAUAAAUUGGUCCAGGUCAAAAAAUGGAGCAGGUCAAAGGUCCCAUGCUAUUUAGUAAUGGGUUUGGGCUUAUGAGUAGCCCCUGCACUUCUAGCCUAGACAAGAUAGGAUUCCUCGUCCUUA